UACGUAGGGGCUAGCGUUAUCCGGAAUUACUGGGCGUAAAGGGUGCGUAGGUGGUUUCUUAAGUCAGAGGUGAAAGGCUACGGCUCAACCGUAGUAAGCCUUUGAAACUGGGAAACUUGAGUGCAUGAGAGGAGAGUGGAAUUCCUAGUGUAGCGGUGAAAUGCGUAGAUAUCGGGAGGAACACCGGUGGCGAAGGCGGCUUUCUGGCCAGUUACUGACGCUCAUGCGCGAAAGCUGGGGUAGCGAACCGGAUUAGAUACCCGGGUAGUCCCUGAGCGGGCU
rnacentral:rRNA from 1 species